rnacentral:snRNA from 1 species
ACCGCUUCUCGGCCUUUCGGGCUAAGAUCAAGUAUA